GAUGAACGCUGGCGGCGUGCCUAAUACAUGCAAGUCGAGCGAACGGACGAGAAGCUUGCUUCUCUGAUGUUAGCGGCGGACGGGUGAGUAACACGUGGAUAACCUACCUAUAAGACUGGGAUAACUUCGGGAAACCGGAGCUAAUACCGGAUAAUAUUUUGAACCGCAUGGUUCAAAAGUGAAAGACGGUCUUGCUGUCACUUAUAGAUGGAUCCGCGCUGCAUUAGCUAGUUGGUAAGGUAACGGCUUACCAAGGCAACGAUGCAUAGCCGACCUGAGAGAGUGAUCGGCCACACUGGAGCUGAGACACGGUCCAGACGCCUACGGGAGGCAGCAGUAGGGAAUCUUCCGCAAUGGGCGAAAGCCUGACGGAGCAACGCCGCGUGAGUGAUGAAGGUCUUCGGAUCGUAAAACUCUGUUAUUAGGGAAGAACAUAUGUGUAAGUAACUGUGCACAUCUUGACGGUACCUAAUCAGAAAGCCACGGCUAACUACGUG
rnacentral:rRNA from 1 species